rnacentral:rRNA from 1 species
GAUGAACGCUGGCGGCGUGCCUAAUACAUGCAAGUCGAGCGAACAGAUAAGGAGCUUGCUCCUUUGAAGUUAGCGGCGGACGGGUGAGUAACACGUGGGUAACCUACCUAUAAGACUGGGAUAACUUCGGGAAACCGGAGCUAAUACCGGAUAACAUUUAGAACCGCAUGGUUCUAAAGUGAAAGAUGGUUUUGCUAUCACUUAUAGAUGGACCCGCGCCGUAUUAGCUAGUUGGUAAGGUAACGGCUUACCAAGGCGACGAUACGUAGCCGACCUGAGAGGGUGAUCGGCCACACUGGAACUGAGACACGGUCCAGACUCCUACGGGAGGCAGCAGUAGGGAAUCUUCCGCAAUGGGCGAAAGCCUGACGGAGCAACGCCGCGUGAGUGAUGAAGGGUUUCGGCUCGUAAAACUCUGUUAUUAGGGAAGAACAAAUGUGUAAGUAACUGUGCACAUCUUGACGGUACCUAAUCAGAAAGCCACGGCUAACUACGUGCCAGCAGCCGCGGUAAUACGUAGGUGGCAAGCGUUAUCCGGAAUUAUUGGGCGUAAAGCGCGCGUAGGCGGUUUCUUAAGUCUGAUGUGAAAGCCCACGGCUCACCGUGGAGGGUCAUUGGAAACUGGGAAACUUGAGUGCAGAAGAGGAAAGUGGAAUUCCAUGUGUAGCGGUGAAAUGCGCAGAGAUAUGGAGGAACACCAGUGGCGAAGGCGACUUUCUGGUCUGUAACUGACGCUGAUGUGCGAAAGCGUGGGGAUCAAACAGGAUUAGAUACCCUGGUAGUCCACGCCGUAAACGAUGAGUGCUAAGUGUUAGGGGGUUUCCGCCCCUUAGUGCUGCAGCUAACGCAUUAAGCACUCCGCCUGGGGAGUACGACCGCAAGGUUGAAACUCAAAGGAAUUGACGGGGACCCGCACAAGCGGUGGAGCAUGUGGUUUAAUUCGAAGCAACGCGAAGAACCUUACCAAAUCUUGACAUCCUUUGAAAACUCUAGAGAUAGAGCCUUCCCCUUCGGGGGACAAAGUGACAGGUGGUGCAUGGUUGUCGUCAGCUCGUGUCGUGAGAUGUUGGGUUAAGUCCCGCAACGAGCGCAACCCUUAAGCUUAGUUGCCAUCAUUAAGUUGGGCACUCUAGGUUGACUGCCGGUGACAAACCGGAGGAAGGUGGGGAUGACGUCAAAUCAUCAUGCCCCUUAUGAUUUGGGCUACACACGUGCUACAAUGGACAAUACAAAGGGCAGCUAAACCGCGAGGUCAUGCAAAUCCCAUAAAGUUGUUCUCAGUUCGGAUUGUAGUCUGCAACUCGACUACAUGAAGCUGGAAUCGCUAGUAAUCGUAGAUCAGCAUGCUACGGUGAAUACGUUCCCGGGUCU